CCUACGGGUGGCUGCAGUGGGGAAUAUUGCACAAUGGGGGAAACCCUGAUGCAGCGACGCCGCGUGAGUGAAGAAGUAUUUCGGUAUGUAAAGCUCUAUCAGCAGGGAAGAAAAUGACGGUACCUGACUAAGAAGCCCCGGCUAACUACGUGCCAGCAGCCGCGGUAAUACGUAGGGGGCAAGCGUUAUCCGGAUUUACUGGGUGUAAAGGGAGCGUAGGUGGCAUGGUAAGCCAGAAGUGAAAACCAGGGGCUCAACCCAAGAAAUGCUCUUAAUACUGGUUUUCUAGAGUGUGGGAGAGGUAAGUGGAAUUCCUAGUGUAGCGGUAGAAUGCGUAGAGAUUAGGAGGAACAUCAGAGGCGAAGGCGGCUUACUGGACCAUAACUGACGCUGAGGCUCGAAAGCGUGGGGAGCAAACAGGAUUAGAUACCCUGGUAGUC
rnacentral:rRNA from 1 species